rnacentral:rRNA from 1 species
AGGACGAACGCUGGCGGCGUGCUUAACACAUGCAAGUCGAGCGGAAAGGCCCUUCGGGGUACUCGAGCGGCGAACGGGUGAGUAACACGUGAGCAACCUGCCCUUAGCUCCGGGAUAGCUCCGGGAAACCGGAAUUAAUACCGGAUAUGACCUAGGCCGACAUCGGCUGUGGGUGGAAAGUUUUUCGGCUGGGGAUGGACUCGCGGCCUAUCAGCUUGUUGGUGGGGUAAUGGCCUACCAAGGCGACGACGGGUAGCCGGCCUGAGAGGGCGACCGGCCACACUGGGACUGAGACACGGCCCAGACUCCUACGGGAGGCAGCAGUGGGGAAUCUUGCGCAAUGGGCGAAAGCCUGACGCAGCGACGCCGCGUGGGGGAUGAAGGCCUUCGGGUUGUAAACCCCUUUCAGCAGGGACGAAGCGAAAGUGACGGUACCUGCAGAAGAAGCGCCGGCUAACUACGUGCCAGCAGCCGC